AGCCAGCGUGGCAUAGCGGUUUGAGGAAUGGACUAUGACUCUGGAGACCAGGGUUCGAAUCCCAGUUUGGCUA